UUUUUGAAGCCGAGAUUUUUGGCUUUUCACUUCUUAGAGAAGCUGCUUCUCCUCGUUAAUACCUCCCAUCUACUUUUUCCUUCCCUUUUUAUAUUUUCUCCUCGAUAACUCUCACUCUCUUCUUUUUCUUUCCCUUCUCCUUCCCCUGUAUCUUUUCCUUCAGAAGAGCCUGAGAGAAAACAACAAUCAAAAAAAUAAGAAUUAGGGUAAAUUUUUUUUUCUCUUUUCUCAUCAGUUGCGAUUCAUGAUUAAUUAUGGCUUCAAAUUCAAACCAAGCUACAAUGCCUUCGUUUGAAGAAGCUAAAGAGGUUUCUGCCAGUUGGUCUAUUGUUCAUGAAUCAUAUUUUAUAGACUUGAUGAUAGUUAAGGUUCAAGCAAGUGGUGAAGAUAGGAAAUUAGGAGGAUUUUCAAAACAUGAUUGGAGCGAUAUUAGGAAGCAGUAUUAUAUGAGGUUCAGGCUGAAACAUAGUUUGAAGGCAUUUAAAAACAAAUUUACUAGGUUGAAGGAACGGUACAGAGAUCAUAAGAAACUUGUGGAAGAUAAUACUGGGAUAGGAUGGGAUCCUAUUUUGUGAACGGUAGAUGCCUCAAAUGAAUGGUGGGAGGACCAUCUGAAGGUGGGAUUAUAUUGUUAUACAUUAUGCAUCUUUCAUUUUAGCAAUCUA